UUAAAGUGUAAAUAUUAUUUAAUUGAAAUUAACAAAUUAAGACAUUUUUGUUUAUAAAGUGAUAAAUAAAUCGCAUUAGUUACUUGCCAAAGAGAAAACAUAUGGCUCAAAUUCUCAUGUUCGUUUAUGUUUUGAUCAUAUUUAUUUCUUUAUUUCUUGAUGUAUCUGACGGUGUUCACAUGUCGUCCUGCGUUUACGACUCUGAUUGUCCAGAUAUGUUUUUCCCAUUUAUGACGAAGUGUGUUAAUUAUGUUUGUGAAUGUUCUUUAUAAAGCAUAAACAUAAAUAUUUAUAGGGUUUUUCUAACCUAUGCAACAUUGUAUAGGAUAAGGGCAAUUAAUACAUUAUUUUCUUCCAUAUAAAUUAUCAUAUUAAUUAUUUUUUUUUGAAAAAUAAUCUUUUAUAUUUUCUCUCUCCCACUCAAUUAAUGAAAAAGUGGUGUAUUAAUUGUCCCCUAUCCUAUGCAAUGUUGCAUAGGUUAGAAAAACCCAUAUUUAUAUGCCAUAAAGUUUAUAUUUUUAAGUCAGGUGUCAUCCUAGUUGUAAAAGAUAGAGAUAUCUACUAGAAAAUAAUUGUAAAGUUGACACUAGUCUCACUUUAAUAAUAAUUUGUUUAAAUUACAAUUU